GUCCGCGGUCAUAGGCCUAUGGCAAAUUCCGAUCUCAUUCCGAACUCGGAAAAUAAUCGUAGGCGCGGUGCGUAUAGUACUUAUCUCCUCGAGAUAGGGAAGUAUGCAUAGCUGCGGACU
rnacentral:rRNA from 1 species